rnacentral:rRNA from 1 species
UACGUAGGGGGCAAGCGUUGUCCGGAUUUACUGGGCGUAAAGAGCGUGUAGGCGGCCAAGCAGGUCCGUUGUGAAAACUGGAGGCUUAACCUCCAGACGUCGACGGAAACCGCGUGGCUAGAGUCCGGAAGAGGAGAGUGGAAUUCCUGGUGUAGCGGUGAAAUGCGCAGAUAUCAGGAAGAACACCUGAGGUGAAGACGGGUUGCUGGGCUGACACUGACGCUGAGGCGCGAAAGCUAGGGGAGCAAGCGGG